GUCUACAGCCAUGCUACCCUGAACAAGCCUGAUCCCGUCUGAUCUUGGAAGCUAAGCAGGGUCGGGCCUGGUUAGCACUUGGAUAAGAGACCACCUAGGAAGACCAGGUACUGUAGGAG
rnacentral:rRNA from 1 species